AUCGCGCAUGCACACAACAAAGCUCAGGCGAAUAAAACACGUCAAGUUACUUACUGCACGAUGGACACAUUCAGAGGCCGAGAAGUCUGACACCAUGCCAUGCAUGGUAACAAAUGAAGCAUGAACACAACACCCUCUAAAGUUUCAUGUUGCAAGAAAACAACACAAACCUAUCAACCACCCCAGCCCCCUUGUAUCUGAGAGGAUUGAGCCCAGAGAAGGGAGUCUGAAUUCCGCCUGUACACCUGAGAGAUCCCCUCUUUUUCCUCAGCUCCAGGAUGGGAGAGGCCUCUUCUGUUAUUUUCUCCCUCUGGCAGUGGUCCCUGGCAGACCACAGACGCUUGGGAGAGGCAAAGGUCAAGUCACGCGUCCUCCAAAACAUGGCCCGCCAAACAGCACUCCUUUACACCCGCCCGACCAACGUAUCGGAGGAAAUGCAGUUCAACUGAUGACCGAAGUCAGCCAGCAGGCUGCCCAGCCCGCAACAAGGAGUCGCUAGAGCAUGAUGAGCCAAGUAAAGCCCCCCCAGCCAAACCCUCUGCUAUCCCGGACGACGCUGGGCCAAUUGUACACCACCCUAUGGGACUCCUGGUCAUGGCAGUUGUGACACAGCCUGGGAUCAAACCCAAGUCUGUAGUGACGCCUCAAGCACUGCAAUGCAGUCCCUUAGACCGCUGAGCCACUAGGGAGGCAUGAAUCCAACUUUCAUCUGCUGUCGACAUCAGGAUACAAUUUGAGAGCACUAGUUAGCUCCAAAAGUAGUGAGUAACUUUGGCUGCAUGCGGACAGUGCAUUCAGAGCUAGCCACACUACAACCUUAAUUUUACCAGGUUCCCAUGAACCAAUUGUAAUGACAGUCCACCACAGUACAACAGAAAGUAUCCUGAUUAGCAAGGGGUAGUCUGUGUUUAAAUUUGUGUAUUAAAAAGUUUGAAAUCACUGUGAAGUGAUUUCGCCAGUGGUUAGAAGGGGGAAUUGGACUUCCCAUGAGAAAGUUAUCUGUGGUUGCAACAGUAACCAAGUGGGGUGGGGCUUGCGGAAUUUUAAAUAACUGUGUUGGUCAUGUUUCUUUGGAGAAAGCUCAAUUUCUUCAGUAAUUCCAGGUUUUAACUUCUUGGUGACAGGGGGCAGUAUUUUCAAGUCCGGAUGAAAUGCAUGCAAAAAUUCAACUGCCUGAUACUUAUCCCCAGAAGAUAAGAUAUGCAUAUUAUUAGUAUAUUUGGAUAGAAAACACUCUGAAGUUUCUAAACUGUUUGAAUCAUGUCUGUGAGUAUAACAGAACUUAUUUAGCAGGUGAAACCCAGAGGACAUACCAUUCAGAUUUUUGGGGGGAUUUUUUGGGGGAGGUCACUCUCUUUUCAAUGGUCUUUCAUCCUAUCGCUUACACUGGAUGUCAACAGUCUUUAGAAAUUAGUUGAGGUUAUUCCUUUGUGUAAUGAAGAAGUACGGCCAUCUUGAACGAGGGUCACUUGAAGUGUACUGUUAGAUAGAGGCGCGUGACCAGAAAGCUAGCUUCAGUUUGUUUUGCUCUUGUAUUGAACACAGAUAAUCCCGUCUUCAGUUUUAUCGAUUAUUUACGCAAAAAAAUAUCUAUAGUUGUAUAACAAAAGUAGUUUGAAAUGUUUUGGCAAAGUUUACAGGUAACUUUUGAGAUAUUUGGUAGUCACGUUGCGCGAGUUGGAACCGGUGUUUUUCUGGAUCAAACGCGCCAAAUAUAUGGACAUUUUGGAUAUAUAUUGACGGAAUUAAUCGAACAAAAGGACCAUUUGUGAUGUUUAUGGGACAUAUUGGAGUGCCAACAAAAGAAGCUCGUCAAAGGUAAGGCAUGAAUGAUAUUUUUAUUUCUGCGUUUUGUGUCGCGCCUGCAGGGUUGAAAUAUGGUCUCUCUCUUUGUUUACGGAGGUGCUAUCCUCAGAUAAUAGCGCCGCUGGAAUUUAUCUUAAUUUAUUGUCAUUGUUUACCCUAAGUGAUAUCUUUUCUCUUUCAGCAAAUGGCAAUUUACUUGAUCCAAUGGUAUUGUUUAUAUACAUAUUGCUGUUGGAUUUUGAAGGUGCUGUAUCAGGACUUUCCCUCAAAUUGAAAUUAUACAAGUGCUUAUAAACCAAUAAUUCCCUAGGGGAUUCCACAUUGACCGGAGCUGAAAGCUUUCAUCUCCCUUGGCCCUGGAUUUUAUUGCAGUUGAAAGGAGGAGAUGGAGUUUCCUCCUAGGAAUCUGUGUGGGUGUGAGAAUGGGUGCACUUACGUAUUACUAUUUUGAAAAGUAGGAGAAGAAAACUGUGAGAUUAGGGCUGUGAGAUUAUGGCUGUGUGUCUGUGUGUCUUUUUCUGUAUGGAGGACGUUUGUAUGUGAACAUGCAAGUGUGUGAGUGCGGUGUCUGUGUGAGCACUCAUAUGUGUACAUGUCUAUGCCAUUGUGCUUCAGAUAAUCUAUGGAUUUGUAGUUGUUAGUGACAUGCACAGUUUGUGUUGGUAUGUGUGUGGACCAGAUGUGGGCAAAAUGUAUUGUUUACGAAAACUGGCACACAGCGAACAGUGCGUACAUCACUCUGAUAGGCUACAGUGUCUUCAGAAAGUAUUCACACCCCUUAACCUUUUCCACAUUUAGUUACGUUACAGCCUGAAUUUAAAAUGGAUUACAUUUCGAUAUUGUGUCACUGGCCUACACACAAUACCCCAUAAUGUCAGAGUUGAAUUAUGUUUUAAGACAUUUUUCCUCAUUAAAAAUGAAAAGCUGAAAUGUAUUGAGUCGAAAAGUAUUCAACCUCUUUGUUAUGGCAAGCUUAAAUAAAUUCAGGAGUAAAAAUGUGGUAAACAAGUUACAUAAUACGUUGCAUGGACUCUGCAACUAUAGUGUUUAACAUUACUUUUGAAUGACUACCUCAUCUCUUUAGCCCACAAAAUAAAAAAUAAAAAUAUUUUUUAAAAAUGUAUCUGUAAGUACCAUCAGUACCACCAUA